rnacentral:lncRNA from 1 species
CCGCGGCGUCCCUAGGGAACACACCCACCUAGCAACCGAGACCAGAGCUGGAGCGCUGCGCCUUUAAUUCUGGGGCGGGCGGGGGGCGGCGGGAAUUUCUGCUCCGGUUCCCUCUGCAUCGCGGGGGCAGCUGUCACCUGUAAGGCGAGCGCGGCGCGGGGGAUGGAAGCAGGCGCCCAUUGGACAGAAUACAAAGGCAGAAACCUACCCCGAAGGCCGGGGCCCG